ACGGCUCAGUAACACGUGGCUAACCUGCCCUUGGGACAGGGAUAACCCCGGGAAACUGGGGCUAAUACUUGAUAGGUGAGAACUCCUGGAAUGGAUUCUCGCUGAAAGGGCGUCUAGAUCAUGCUUUUAGGCGUCGCCCAAGGAGGGGGCCGCGGCCGAUCAGGUUGUUGGUGAAGUAACGGCUCACCAAGCCUUUAACCGGUACGGGCCGUGAGAGCGGUAGCCCGGAGAUGGGUACUGAGACAAGGGCCCAGGCCCUACGGGGCGCAGCAGUCGCGAAAACUCACCAAUUCACGAAAGUGUGAGUGGGCCAUCCCGAGUGCCGUCCGCUGAGGAUGGCUUUUCCUUAGUGUACAAAGCUGGGGGAAUAAGGAGAGGGCAAGUCUGGUGUCAGCCGCCGCGGUAAUACCAGCUCUCCGAGUGGUGGGGAUGUUUAUUGGGCCUAAAGCAUUCGUAGCCUGCUGGACAAGUCCUCCGUUAAAUCCAACGAUUCAAUCGUUGGGCCGCGGGGGAUACUGUUCGGCUAGGGGGCGGAAGAGGUCGACGGUAUUCUCGGGGUAGGGGUGAAAUCCUAUAAUCCCGGGAGGACCACCAGUGGCGAAGGCUGUCGGCUAGAACGCGCCCGACGGUGAGGGAUGAAAGCUGGGGGAGCGAACCGGAUUAGAUACCCGGGUAGUCCCAGCCGUAAACGAUGCAGGCUAGGUGUUGGCGCGGCUACGUGCCGCUCCAGUGCCGCAGGGAAGCCGUUAAGCCUGCCGCCUGGGAAGUACGGCCGCAAGGCUGAAACUUAAAGGAGUUGGCGGGGGAGCACCACAAGGGGUGAAGCUUGCGGUUUAAUUGGAGUCAACGCCGGA
rnacentral:rRNA from 1 species